AAAGUUGGGUAAUACCCUAUUAAUUUAAAGUAGAGGAAAGGCUAUUAAGAGAUUAAAUGUAGAGCAUUAAAUUUAAAUAAUUUGGCGGUGUGUUGUAAGUUAGAGGAACUUGUCUAUUAAAUGAUAGUCCACGAUAGGAGGAGCCUAAUGAAGUUUUUAUGUAUUGUUGUUUUAAUUUAAUUUUAAAAGGGAGAUUAUAGAUAGGUAAAGUUAUUUAAGUGAAUUCAAAUCAAAAUGUAGAAUUAUUAGGGAGUAUGAUGAGUUACAGUUUAAUUUAGAAGUGGAUUGGGGAAUUUAAAAACUUUAAGAAAGAGGAUUUAAUAGUAAGAUUAUAAAAUUAUAUAAUUUGAAUUUAUGUAGGCAUGUGUACAAAUUGCCCGUUCAUUUUUUCA
rnacentral:rRNA from 1 species